UCCUGGUUCUUAGGACCAAGCAGCUCUCUCUUAAGUGAGGAGGAAGCCACCUGUGGAAUGGACCAUCUGAGUGGAGCAGAAAACCCUGCUGGGAAAGAGCAGAUUCUAGGUUUGCAUGUCUAGAAACAGGCCACCCAAACUGAGACAAUGGGAAGUUUGCGCCAAGUUUCAGAAGAAAGAGCUCCCCCUACCUGUUUCCUAGAGCAGCAGAAAAUGAGCAGGUCUGAGGUCACUUACGUAAUCAUUCAGUGAUGACUGGAAAUCAGUGCAGCAUGCUGCCUAUAAUUGCUACUCAGGGGAAGCAGAGUACUUUGUGCCAAAGGAGAACUCUAAGGACUGAAACACCUUGAUCCUGUAGACCUCUCUCUGAUGGUCUGGUUCUAUCCGAGCAUAGAACCUGGGUUAUUUGCAAUAAAGAAUGGAUUAUA